rnacentral:lncRNA from 1 species
CAUAUCAAAGAUUAUCCUCAACUCAAAGAUCGAAUGAGGGCUACUGCAGCAAUGGUCAGUAGCGAGUCAGAAGAUGAUGUCCUAGUAAUAUCUAAUGAGGUAUCUACUUCUUUUCAGUAGUGGAUCUUAAAUUCUACAUGCACUCAUCAUGUUUGUUGCACAGGAGAACUGUUUGAUUCCUUGAAGAGUAGUGAGGGCACUGUUCAUCUAUCGG